rnacentral:rRNA from 1 species
AGCAGCCGCGGUAAUUCCAGCUCCAAUAGCGUAUAUUAAAGUUGUUGCAGUUAAAAAGCUCGUAGUUGAAUUUUGGGACUAACAGGUUGGUCGCGCCUUUGGUGUGUACUGGCCUAGUUGGUUUCUCCCUUCUGACGAACCACGAUGUCAUUAAUUUGGUGUCGUGGGAAAUCAGGACUGUUACUUUGAAAAAAUUAGUGUGUUUAAAGCGGGCUCACGCUUGAAUACAUUAGCAUGGAAUAAUGAAAUAGGACGUUUGAUUCUAUUUUGUUGGUUUCUAGGAUCGACGUAAUGAUUAAUAGGGAUAGUUGGGGGCAUUAGUAUUCAAUUGUCAGAGGUGAAAUCCUUGGAUUUAUUGAAGACUAACUACUGCGAAAGCAUUUGCCAAGGAU